rnacentral:rRNA from 3 species
GGUUAAGCGACUAAGCGUACACGGUGGAUGCCCUGGCAGUCAGAGGCGAUGAAGGACGUGCUAAUCUGCGAUAAGCGUCGGUAAGGUGAUAUGAACCGUUAUAACCGGCGAUUUCCGAAUGGGGAAACCCAGUGUGUUUCGACACACUAUCAUUAACUGAAUCCAUAGGUUAAUGAGGCGAACCGGGGGAACUGAAACAUCUAAGUACCCCGAGGAAAAGAAAUCAACCGAGAUUCCCCCAGUAGCGGCGAGCGAACGGGGAGGAGCCCAGAGCCUGAAUCAGUGUGUGUGUUAGUGGAAGCGUCUGGAAAGGCGCGCGAUACAGGGUGACAGCCCCGUACACAAAAAUGCACAUGCUGUGAGCUCGAUGAGUAGGGCGGGACACGUGGUAUCCUGUCUGAAUAUGGGGGGACCAUCCUCCAAGGCUAAAUACUCCUGACUGACCGAUAGUGAACCAGUACCGUGAGGGAAAGGCGAAAAGAACCCCGGCGAGGGGAGUGAAAAAGAACCUGAAACCGUGUACGUACAAGCAGUGGGAGCACAGAGCAAUCUGUGUGACUGCGUACCUUUUGUAUAAUGGGUCAGCGACUUAUAUUCUGUAGCAAGGUUAACCGAAUAGGGGAGCCGAAGGGAAACCGAGUCUUAACUGGGCGUUAAGUUGCAGGGUAUAGACCCGAAACCCGGUGAUCUAGCCAUGGGCAGGUUGAAGGUUGGGUAACACUAACUGGAGGACCGAACCGACUAAUGUUGAAAAAUUAGCGGAUGACUUGUGGCUGGGGGUGAAAGGCCAAUCAAACCGGGAGAUAGCUGGUUCUCCCCGAAAGCUAUUUAGGUAGCGCCUCGUGAAUUCAUCUCCGGGGGUAGAGCACUGUUUCGGCAAGGGGGUCAUCCCGACUUACCAACCCGAUGCAAACUGCGAAUACCGGAGAAUGUUAUCACGGGAGACACACGGCGGGUGCUAACGUCCGUCGUGAAGAGGGAAACAACCCAGACCGCCAGCUAAGGUCCCAAAGUCAUGGUUAAGUGGGAAACGAUGUGGGAAGGCCCAGACAGCCAGGAUGUUGGCUUAGAAGCAGCCAUCAUUUAAAGAAAGCGUAAUAGCUCACUGGUCGAGUCGGCCUGCGCGGAAGAUGUAACGGGGCUAAACCAUGCACCGAAGCUGCGGCAGCGACACUGUGUGUUGUUGGGUAGGGGAGCGUUCUGUAAGCCUGUGAAGGUGUGCUGUGAGGCAUGCUGGAGGUAUCAGAAGUGCGAAUGCUGACAUAAGUAACGAUAAAGCGGGUGAAAAGCCCGCUCGCCGGAAGACCAAGGGUUCCUGUCCAACGUUAAUCGGGGCAGGGUGAGUCGACCCCUAAGGCGAGGCCGAAAGGCGUAGUCGAUGGGAAACAGGUUAAUAUUCCUGUACUUGGUGUUACUGCGAAGGGGGGACGGAGAAGGCUAUGUUGGCCGGGCGACGGUUGUCCCGGUUUAAGCGUGUAGGCUGGUUUUCCAGGCAAAUCCGGAAAAUCAAGGCUGAGGCGUGAUGACGAGGCACUACGGUGCUGAAGCAACAAAUGCCCUGCUUCCAGGAAAAGCCUCUAAGCAUCAGGUAACAUCAAAUCGUACCCCAAACCGACACAGGUGGUCAGGUAGAGAAUACCAAGGCGCUUGAGAGAACUCGGGUGAAGGAACUAGGCAAAAUGGUGCCGUAACUUCGGGAGAAGGCACGCUGAUAUGUAGGUGAAGUCCCUCGCGGAUGGAGCUGAAAUCAGUCGAAGAUACCAGCUGGCUGCAACUGUUUAUUAAAAACACAGCACUGUGCAAACACGAAAGUGGACGUAUACGGUGUGACGCCUGCCCGGUGCCGGAAGGUUAAUUGAUGGGGUCAGCGCAAGCGAAGCUCUUGAUCGAAGCCCCGGUAAACGGCGGCCGUAACUAUAACGGUCCUAAGGUAGCGAAAUUCCUUGUCGGGUAAGUUCCGACCUGCACGAAUGGCGUAAUGAUGGCCAGGCUGUCUCCACCCGAGACUCAGUGAAAUUGAACUCGCUGUGAAGAUGCAGUGUACCCGCGGCAAGACGGAAAGACCCCGUGAACCUUUACUAUAGCUUGACACUGAACAUUGAGCCUUGAUGUGUAGGAUAGGUGGGAGGCUUUGAAGUGUGGACGCCAGUCUGCAUGGAGCCGACCUUGAAAUACCACCCUUUAAUGUUUGAUGUUCUAACGUGGACCCGUGAUCCGGGUUGCGGACAGUGUCUGGUGGGUAGUUUGACUGGGGCGGUCUCCUCCUAAAGAGUAACGGAGGAGCACGAAGGUUGGCUAAUCCUGGUCGGACAUCAGGAGGUUAGUGCAAUGGCAUAAGCCAGCUUGACUGCGAGCGUGACGGCGCGAGCAGGUGCGAAAGCAGGUCAUAGUGAUCCGGUGGUUCUGAAUGGAAGGGCCAUCGCUCAACGGAUAAAAGGUACUCCGGGGAUAACAGGCUGAUACCGCCCAAGAGUUCAUAUCGACGGCGGUGUUUGGCACCUCGAUGUCGGCUCAUCACAUCCUGGGGCUGAAGUAGGUCCCAAGGGUAUGGCUGUUCGCCAUUUAAAGUGGUACGCGAGCUGGGUUUAGAACGUCGUGAGACAGUUCGGUCCCUAUCUGCCGUGGGCGCUGGAGAACUGAGGGGGGCUGCUCCUAGUACGAGAGGACCGGAGUGGACGCAUCACUGGUGUUCGGGUUGUCAUGCCAAUGGCACUGCCCGGUAGCUAAAUGCGGAAGAGAUAAGUGCUGAAAGCAUCUAAGCACGAAACUUGCCCCGAGAUGAGUUCUCCCUGACCCUUUAAGGGUCCUGAAGGAACGUUGAAGACGACGACGUUGAUAGGCCGGGUGUGUAAGCGCAGCGAUGCGUUGAGCUAACCGGUACUAAUGAACCGUGAGGCUUAACCUUACAACGCCGAAGGUGUUUUG